rnacentral:rRNA from 1 species
UACGGGGGGGGCAAGCGUUGUUCGGAAUUACUGGGCGUAAAGGGCUUGUAGGUGGCCAACUAAGUCAGACGUGAAAUCCCUCGGCUUAACCGGGGAACUGCGUCUGAUACUGGAUGGCUUGAGUGUGGGAGAGGGAUGCGGAAUUCCAGGUGUAGCGGUGAAAUGCGUAGAUAUCUGGAGGAACACCGGUGGCGAAGGCGACUCUUUGGCCUGUAACUGACGCUGAGGCGCGAAAGCGUGGGGAGCAAACAGG